rnacentral:rRNA from 1 species
UACGAAGGGGGCUAGCGUUGCUCGGAAUCACUGGGCGUAAAGGGCGCGUAGGCGGCCACCGCAAGUCGACUGUGAAAUCUCCGGGCUUAACCCGGAAAGGUCAGCCGAUACUGCGGGGCUAGAGUGCAGAAGGGGCAACUGGAAUUCUCGGUGUAGCGGUGAAAUGCGUAGAUAUCGAGAGGAACACCUGCGGCGAAGGCGGGUUGCUGGGCUGACACUGACGCUGAGGCACGAAGGCCAGGGGAGCAAACGGG